rnacentral:lncRNA from 1 species
GCAGAAUGCUGCAGACACUCUGGGCCCCUUUGUCUGCGUGGAACGGAUCUCUAGUCACAGUUAAAAGAAAACAGCAACAACAAGAAGAGAACAACAAUCACAAGGAACCAUGUCAUCCGUGGCAUCUUUAGGAGGAUGUGCAGCACUCUGAACAUGGUUCCAAGGAAUUUAGUAGAUGUCUAUUGCGUUGUCAGCAUGACAGGAUCCAAACCUGAGGUCUCUGUCAUCAUUGCUCCAUGACACAUACACCCUUGGCAAGCAAUUAGAUGUCUAUGUUCCUUGAGGUUGAAGGAGAAAUGGACAAGAUCCAAGGCCAUAUUUUGGGGGAAGGAAAAGACUGAACCUCACUCAGCCUCACCCAGGUUAGUUCUCUUGGCUACUUCAAAAAACAAGGAGUGUGAGAGGAAUCCUGGGAACAUAGGAGUUAUGAGAACCUCUUCUCAGAAUG